CCCUUAGAUGUUCUGGGCUGCACGCGUGCUACAAUGGCGUUUCCAGCAAGUCUGCGAACCCGAGAGGGCCAGCGGAUCUUCGAAUUGGCGUCGUGAUCGGGACAGUCGAUUGCAAUUAUUUGACUCAAACGAGGAAUUCCUUGUAAUCGCGAUUCAUCAUAUCGCGCUGAGUACGUCCCUGCCCUUUGUACACACCGCCCGUCGCUCCUACCGAUUGAGCGAUCCGGUAAAUGUUUUGGAUUGGUGCCGGGGCGGCUAGCUGCCGGUCGCUACGAAAUUUUGUGAACCUUAUCGCUUAGAGGAAGGAAAAGUCGUAACA
rnacentral:rRNA from 1 species